GAUGAACGCUGGCGGCGUGCCUAAUACAUGCAAGUCGAGCGAACUUUUGGGAGCUUGCUCCCAAUAGUUAGCGGCGGACGGGUGAGUAACACGUGGGUAACCUGCCUGUAAGACUGGGAUAACUUCGGGAAACCGGAGCUAAUACCGGAUAACAUUGAAGACCACAUGGCAUUCAAUUAAAAGGUGGCUUUUAGCUACCACUUACAGAUGGACCCGCGGCGCAUUAGCUAGUUGGUGAGGUAACGGCUCACCAAGGCGACGAUGCGUAGCCGACCUGAGAGGGUGAUCGGCCACACUGGGACUGAGACACGGCCCAGACUCCUUCGGGAGGCAGCAGGAGGGGAACAUCCGACAUGGACGAAAGUCUGGCGGAGCAACGCCGGGUGGGCUAAGGAGGCCGUCGGGUCGUAAAGCUCUGUUGUUAGGGAAGAACAAGUAUCGUUCGAAUAGGGCGGUACCUUGACGGUACCUAACCAGAAAGCCACGGCUAACUACGUG
rnacentral:rRNA from 1 species